UUAUGCCCCAGAUAGUAGUGGAAAGCCCGGACCUCCAAACUGCCUUUUUUCUUGGCUCAAAAGAGCGACCAACGGAAGCUCCUUUUGGGCCUUAGAAAAAGACAGUUUGGAGGGAGGACUUGUAACGGAUAGCUGGAUUAGGC
rnacentral:misc_RNA from 1 species